UACAGAGGGUGCAAGCGUUAAUCGGAUUUACUGGGCGUAAAGGGCGCGUAGGUGGUUGUUUAAGUGAGAUGUGAAAUCCCCGGGCUCAACCUGGGAACUGCAUUUGUGACUGCAUGGCUAGAGUACGGUAGAGGGGGAUGGAAUUCCGCGUGUAGCAGUGAAAUGCGUAGAUAUGCGGAGGAACACCGAUGGCGGAAGGCAAUCCCCUGGACCUGUACUGACGCUCAUGCACCGAAAGGCGUGGGGAGCAAACAGG
rnacentral:rRNA from 1 species